rnacentral:rRNA from 1 species
UAGAGUUUGAUCCUGGCUCAAGAUGAACGCUGGCGGCGCGCCUAACACAUGCAAGUCGAACGGCACCCACCUUCGGGUGGAAGCGAGUGGCGAACGGCUGAGUAACACGUGGAGAACCUGCCCCCUCUUCCGGGAUAGCCGCCCGAAAGGACGGGUAAUACCGGAUACCCCGGGGUGCCGCAUGGCACCCCGGCUAAAGCCCCGAGGGGAGGGGAUGGCUCCGCGGCCCAUCAGGUAGACGGCGGGGUGACGGCCCACCGUGCCGACAACGGGUAGCCGGGUUGAGAGACCGACCGGCCAGAUUGGGACUGAGACACCGCCCACACUCCUACGGGAGGCAGCAGUGGGGAAUCUUGCGCAAUGGGGGGAACCCUGACGCAGCGACGCCGCGUGCGGGACGGAGGCCUUCGGGUCGUAAACCGCUUUCAGCAGGGAAGAGUCAAGACUGUACCUGCAGAAGAAGCCCCGGCUAUCUACGUGCCAGCAGCCGCGGUAAUACGUAGGGGGGCGAGCGUUAUCCGGAUUCAUUGGGCGUAAAGCGCGCGUAGGCGGCCCGGCAGGCCGGGGGUCGAAGCGGGGGGCUCAACCCCCCGAAGCCCCCGGAACCUCCGCGGCUUGGGUCCGGUAGGGGAGGGUGGAACACCCGGUGUAGCGGUGGAAUGCGCAGAUAUCGGGUGGAACACCGGUGGCGAAGGCGGCCCUCUGGGCCGAGACCGACGCUGAGGCGCGAAAGCUGGGGGAGCGAACAGGAUUAGAUACCCUGGUAGUCCCAGCCGUAA